UGUCACACAAAGCUUUGAUCUCGGGUACCAAAACCUGAACUAAUGAUUUCAGUGCAUAAGCAAGGAAAUCUGACAUCUUCAAGUGACCGAAUCGUUCGUCUCGAGGAACAUAAAUGUCUAGACUGAUGAUUAAUGGUGCUCGACCAGUUUUUCCUCUUCGAGGGUAAGGGUACUCAGUGGAUCCUCCUAGAACAGGACGUGCAUAUUUUGGACCCUUGUCAGGAUCACCCAAGUCAUUGUAAAAUGCGUAGUCAUAAACUCUGUCCCAUUCCUUGAGCUCCCCUGUUCCAUAUUCUCUAAGAUUUAUCAACUCAUCUUGUCUGUACUUACGUAAUGGCUCUGGCGUAUUGUGCGGAAGGUGAUUAAAACUGUCUAUGAUGCAGUUCUGAACACGGAAUCUCUCACUGAAAGGGCGGAGGAUUUGGAUUGCCAGAGAUUGAGGUCGUCAACUCUUUGGCUAUGAUGAUAAUAACUAGUAAGUUAGUAACUAGUGGAAAAGUUUUAUCGGACAAUCUUAUGGAACUAAUUUUACUGAGUUUUUUUGGCUUCUACGCCCGAAAUCGCAGCGGCGCAGAUGUAGCCAAUUUGUGUUUUCUAAAGCAUGUAUUUUGCUCACACCUCGAAAGAAAUUUUCUGAACU